rnacentral:lncRNA from 1 species
AUUUUGUCAACAGAUGACGCCACUUUCUAUUCUUUGAGAAUAUUUAAGUAACGGGACGAAACAAGCCCUUCUACAGGUUUUCCACCUCUGCAGAAGGGCCAGCCGGAUUAUGGAGGGCGGGAUCGACGGACCGCGCCUGGAACCCAAGGUAAACAUUUUCAAGGGAUGGGACCCGAGAUUGGAACCCGGACCCUCCAGAAUGGAAAGCCGAAGCGUUUUACCCUCGGGACUAAACUGGAUCGAAAUCGCCUUAGAAGUGAGAAUAUUGGGGUGGCAGUUAAAAUGCCUUCAUUUAAAUCCUUUAGAGAUAUGUUCUAAUUCGGAAUGACAUCAUAAUUGCACGAUGUCACGAUCGUAAUGACGUAGGUGUAUUCGGCACAAAGCAUCUAUGAUUCGGCAGAUAUGAACUUUUAGAUAAAUUUCUCCGUGAAAAAUGAACUAUUUAAUUUUAUAAACUCUUAAUUUGAAUAAUUUUUGAUAAAGAUUCAGAUUAAUUAUUUGUUCCGAACUCAAUUUUAAAAUUUUUGUUCAGUAAUGCUG